rnacentral:rRNA from 1 species
GGCCUUACACAUGCCAGUCGAGCGGCAGCGGGUCCUUCGGGAUGCCGGCGAGCGGCGGACGGGUGAGUAAUGCCUAGGAAUCUGCCUGGUAGUGGGGGAUAACUCGGGGAAACUCGAGCUAAUACCGCAUACGUCCUACGGGAGAAAGUGGGGGAUCUUCGGACCUCACGCUAUCAGAUGAGCCUAGGUCGGAUUAGCUAGUUGGUGAGGUAAAGGCUCACCAAGGCGACGAUCCGUAACUGGUCUGAGAGGAUGAUCAGUCACACUGGAACUGAGACACGGUCCAGACUCCUACGGGAGGCAGCAGUGGGGAAUAUUGGACAAUGGGCGAAAGCCUGAUCCAGCCAUGCCGCGUGUGUGAAGAAGGUCUUCGGAUUGUAAAGCACUUUAAGUUGGGAGGAAGGGCAGUAAGUUAAUACCUUGCUGUUUUGACGUUACCAACAGAAUAAGCACCGGCUAACUUCGUGCCAGCAGCCGCGGUAAUACGAAGGGUGCAAGCGUUAAUCGGAAUUACUGGGCGUAAAGCGCGCGUAGGUGGUUCAGCAAGUUGGAGGUGAAAUCCCCGGGCUCAACCUGGGAACUGCCUCCAAAACUACUGGGCUAGAGUAUGGUAGAGGGUGGUGGAAUUUCCUGUGUAGCGGUGAAAUGCGUAGAUAUAGGAAGGAACACCAGUGGCGAAGGCGACCACCUGGACUAAUACUGACACUGAGGUGCGAAAGCGUGGGGAGCAAACAGGAUUAGAUACCCUGGUAGUCCACGCCGUAAACGAUGUCGACUAGCCGUUGGGAUCCUUGAGAUCUUAGUGGCGCAGCUAACGCGAUAAGUCGACCGCCUGGGGAGUACGGCCGCAAGGUUAAAACUCAAAUGAAUUGACGGGGGCCCGCACAAGCGGUGGAGCAUGUGGUUUUAAUUCGAAGCAACGCGAAGAACCUUACCUGGGCCUUGACAUGCUGAGAACUUUCCAGAGAUGGAUUGGUUGCCUUUCGGGAACUCAGACACAGGUGCUGCAUGGGCUGUCGUCAGCUCGUGGUCCGUGGAGAUGAUUGGG